GACGGCGACGGCGACGGUGAAGAAGGCGCCGAGGACGAGGACGAAGCGUGUAUCAUUCCGGGGCGCGGUGCGUGAUUUGCACAGUUUGCGCGGUUUGCGCUACGGCAAAUCAGCAGUGGGAUCGUUCGAGGACGAGCGCUUAACAUGCCCGCGGGAUCGGCGACUAGGUUCAGGAAAAAGAGCUGCUGCUCCCGUUCCUGCUCCGCCUCCUCUUUCGCCUGAGGAGAGUGCACCAAGUCCGCGAGGCGCAUGCUUCCCCGCCCGCUCCCUCGCCAUUUUGGAGAUAGAAUGUUAAACUCGGGAAUGGACUGACAGAGGAUCUUCCAGAAAAGAUCGAAAAGUUGGGUACGAGGAAUCUAAACGACAGACGAUAACAGGGCAAAGUGUCUGCGAGUAGGCCUCGGGCCGUACAACCAUCAACGACUCGACUAUGCCAGCUGUUGCAAGGCCUGGUAGCUUAAAAGACCCAGAGAUUGCCGAAUUAUUCGAGAAAAAUGAUCCGGAGAAGAUAUUUGAGGAUCUGCGCGAGAUCGGGCAUGGUAGUUUCGGAGCAGUUUACUAUGCACGAUGCCUGGUUACCAAAGAGAUUGUUGCCAUCAAGAAGAUGUCUUACCUGGGGAAACAAACGGUGGAGAAAUGGCAGGACAUUCUGAAGGAGAUUCGAUUUCUUAGGCAACUUAAUCAUCCUAACACUAUAGAAUAUAAGGGUUGCUAUCUCAGGGACCACACUGCCUGGCUGGUGAUGGAAUAUUGUCUUGGCUCCGCAUCGGAUAUUAUCGAAGUCCACAAAAGACCUCUGAAAGAAGAAGAGAUCGCCGCGAUAUGCGAAGGUGUAUUGCGUGGCUUGCAUUAUCUCCAUUCUCUCGGAAGGAUCCAUCGUGAUGUGAAAGCAGGAAAUAUUCUACUUACUGAGAACGGUACAGUGAAAUUGGCUGAUUUUGGGUCCGCGAGCAUAAAAUGUCCAGCCAAUAGCUUCGUAGGGACUCCAUAUUGGAUGGCACCAGAAGUUAUAUUAGCUAUGGAUGAGGGCCAGUAUGAUGGCAAGGUGGACGUAUGGUCGUUAGGAAUAACGUGCAUCGAAUUAGCGGAGAGAAAGCCACCUUAUUUUAAUAUGAACGCUAUGAGCGCCUUGUAUCAUAUCGCACAGAAUGAUACGCCAAUCUUAAAUUCACCAGAUUGGACCGAUGUCUUUCGUCAUUUUGUUGAGGUGUGUCUUACUAAAAGUCCGAUUGAAAGACCAACGUCCGGGAAAUUGUUAUCACAUCAAUUUGUCACCAGACCACGUUCUCCUCAAGUUUUGAUAGAUUUGAUACAGAGAACGAAAGCCGCUGUACGGGAAUUAGAUAACUUGAAUUACCGUAAGAUGAAGAAGAUCUUGAUGAUCGACGCAUGCGAGACUGAGAGCACAGUUGGUGACGCCGACGAUACUCCCGAUGAACAAACAGGUGGUGAUAGUAGCAAAAGCAAUUCAAUUACCUCAGAACACUCGAUUCACUCGAUGGGCGUCUCGGCGAGCUCUCAAAGUUCCUCCACCAAUAGCCUGCCGCUGCCGAAUACUGAUAACAAUGAUUAUUCCUCGGGUUCUGUCAGAAAUCGGCAUAAAGUUACAGCAGGUGGUGUCACUGCCAAUCUUCUUGAACACGGUGCCAAUAAUUUUGCGACAAUUAGAACGACUUCAAUUGUCACGAAACAACAAAAGGAACACAUGCAAGAAGAAAUGCAUGAACAGAUGAGUGGGUACAAACGAAUGAGGAGAGAACAUCAAGGUGCUUUGGUGAAAUUAGAGGAACGCUGCAAAAUGGAGAUGGAGUCACAUAAACAGCUGUUGGAUAAAGAGUACGAAACUCUUUUGCAACAGUUUAGCAAAGAUCUCGAGAAAUUGCAACUCAGACAUCUGCAAGAACUGGAACGUAAGCUGAAACAAAAUCAAAAUGCCGAGAAGAAACUUCACAAGGAGAUAACAAGCAGACAGGAGGCCGAUCGCAAGGCUCUAGAAGCUCAACAGAAAAGAGAGUACAAAGCCUAUAAAGAAAGAUGGAAAAAGGAACUGUCUCAGGACGAAGUAACUCCAAAGAGGCAACGAGACGCUACGCUUCAGAGUCAAAAAGAUAAUUUGAGACAAAUGGAAGCGCAAGAGGAACAACGGCUCGCGAGGGGACAACGAGAAUAUCUGGAUCUUGAAAUUCGUAAAUUCCGUAGAAAAAAGUUACUCAUCUUCCACAGCCUGGAACAGGAGCUUCUUCGCGAAGAACUGAACAAGCGGCAACAGCAACUAGAGCAGGCACAUGCUAUGCUCUUGCGACAUCAUGAAAAGACCCAAGAAUUGGAAUAUAGACAACAGAGAGCGGUACACGCGCUUCGCGAAGAUCAAGUGCAUCGACAACAUACAACAGAGCUCUGUAAUCAGCAGGAUUACAUGCAAAGGGCUGAACGUGAUCUGCGUAAGAAACAUGCGUUAGAACUGAAACAGCAACCGAAAAGUCUCAAGCAAAAGGAAAUGCAAAUUCGUAAACAGUUUAGAGAAACUUGUAAAAUACAGACACGACAAUAUAAAGCAUUAAAAGCUCAAAUCCUGCAAACAACUGCUAAGGACGAACAGAAAGCGGUUAUUAAGAAGUUGAAGGAGGAACAGAGACGUAAAUUGGCUCUUUUAGGUGAUCAGUACGAGCAGAGUAUCGCUGAAAUGCUCCAAAAACAAAGUAUACGGCUAGAUGAGUCGCAAGAAUUAGAAUGCCAUAAUCUUAAGGAAAGAUUAAAUUAUGAAUUAGAAAUUCUAAUGGCAUACCAAUCAAAAAACAAGAUGCAAGCCGAGGCGCAGAGAAACAGAGAACGUCGCGAGUUGGAAGAUCGCGUAUCUGUUAGACGAGCUUUGCUCGAACAAAAGAUGGAAUUAGAAACUCAGGAAUUUCUUCGUGAACGUAGCGAACGUAUACGCCUGCUACAUGAAAGGCAAGAACGGGAACUGCAGCAAUUUGAUGAGGAAAGCGCGAGAAUAGGAUUCAGUGCUCUGGCGAUAGCUGAGGCAUCAAAAGAAUCAUACCCGGAUGAUGAAAGCCUUAGCGGCUCCAUGUUAAGUCUAGCUCACAGUAAUAGCUCCACAUCCUUCCCCCCUAAUAGUCUUUAAUUUUAAUCAUAUUAAUAGAAUAUAUAUAUAUAGAUAUAUAUAUAGAUGUACAUACGUACCCACAUACAUAUAUGUACGUACGUAUGUAUGUUGUCUGUCUGUAGUAAGUACAUGACGAGUCUGCCGACGUAUAAUAAUUCGACGACAUAUAUAUAUAUAUAUAUAUAUAUAUAUAUAUAAAACAAGGGUUGUGUGGCUCGUUACGUGCAUCGACCCAAACUUGAAAGGUUUGUUGAGCUUGGGAAUGUGUAUUGGACUGAAAUUGUCACAAUUGCAUAUUUUUCAAUCAACAAAAGAUAUAUUGAUAUGAUUUACCAGAAAGAAAGAGAGAAUGAAAGAGUCAGCGAGCAAGCAAGCAAGCUUCAUAUUGAAGAAGAAUCUAGAUGCUUUUUGCAACAUUGUAAUAUUUAUUACUCAUAACCAAAUAUCUUGAGAUGCAUAUAGAGGUAAAGAAAAGUCUUUAAUAACAUUAAUUUCAUCUGUAAUAUCCAGUAGAAUCUUAAAAUUUAUAGCUCAGAAGAUGUCAGUGUAGGAAGUAAAGAAUUUUAUACAUACUACUACAGAAAAGGAAAGCUUUAGAGAUCUUUAUUUAUUAAUAUAUCGCAAAAAAUAUGACAAUGGUAAUAGUACAAUAAUCCUAAAUUGAUUCUCGUAUUAACACAUCCUCCAUUCUUUUCCCCGUCCAUUUUUCCUCGUCUGAAAUUUGAAAUAAUGAGAGUAAGUUUAAGAUGUCUUUUUCUUGGUGUUUUGACUGACACACUCAGAUACUACUUUCAUAACAAAGAUUUCAGAAUUAAUCGUAAUAAUCGAGCAUCGCGCGCGUUAGAGAGCGAAAGUUACAUUUCUUAUAUAUCUUAAGAAUUUAGUUAUACAUUUAAUUUGAUGCAAUAUACACACAUCAGUGGAAUUUGUAAAGUGAUAUUCUAAUAUAUUUAGCAAAACUCUAUUUUUUUAUACAUAUAAAUAUUAGUAAUUAAUGUGCAUUUUUCCCCCUCCAGAAAAAAAGAUUUAAGUUCAGGAUAUAAUAACAUUCGCAUUAUCCUUCUAUUACAUUAUACUUUCUUUUUUAUUUUAUAUCAAUAAUCAUGAAAAUUUAAUUGAUAAUAAAAUGAUUGUUGAACUGCGAACGAUUAGUCUUCACUUUUCACAAUUCCUGUCAACUUUUCUGCUAACAAUAAGAUUUUUUUAUCCAUUGUAUCUCAAAUAUUUCAAAUAUAUAAUUUGUAUAAAAUUUUGAUAAAGUAUAACGUAUAGUUAAAUAAUUUAUGAUGUAUUAGUAAAUUGGUUUAUUAUCUAUUAUAAAGCUCGAAAAAAAGGAUUUAUGGACAUAUAUGAACGUAUACUUUUUCUCAUCCCUUGUACAUAAUGAUAAAUGAUAAAAUGUAAUUUUCCAAGUAUUUUCUGCAUCAUUAAUGAGUAAAUCAAUUUUCAACUACGAGAUCAGUUGUUUAACUGUGAUUUCAUUUCAGCUUUUAAUGCAAGUUUUAUUCGUACAGAGUUAAAAGUUGGCGGACUAUUUAAAAACAUUUCUGUAUCGAAUUUUAUAAUCAACGAAAAUAAUUGAACAAAUGUUAACUCUUUACCUUCCCCGUUAAUGUGAUAUAAACGCGUCAAGUGUAAGAGAAUCUGACCAAUGUUAUCUGUACAUUAGCAAAAUUUUUAUUUUCAUUUGACAUACCAGUGAAAGACGUUUACUUUUCACAAAAAGCUUUAAGAAAAGUUUGCAUAAACGUUAGCAAAAUGUUAAUUUCUCCAUCUGUUAUUCAGAAAAGUUUGCACACUUUGAUAUAUCUGAUGGACUCUUGCGUAAUUCCAGUGUAUAUCACAUAAUCUCCAUAACUGUUUAAAAUUUCAUCCAGUACACAUCCCCCAAUGUAGUAUUUUUACAUCAAGAUAUACAUGUUAUGUUUCCUUUUUCAUUUAUAUUACACUUUUAUAUACUUUUAUCUUAUAUGUCACAAAGUCCCCUUAAUACCGAUAAAAUUUAAAUCUAAAUGAUUGUGACUGUUGUUCCUCCCAACAAUGUUCGUGCCCUUAUACGAUAAUUUAAAUAUAUUGUCUGUAGAAUCAACGAAAACAAGUACGAUUUCACAUUAAAAGAGAAGAAUGAUGAACAAUGUCGUAUUAAGAAAGUGUAUUUCCAUUAAUUAUAACACCCUUAUAAGGAGGUGCUACCACUACGUAGUUAAUACUUAGUAACGCGCGCGCGCGCGAGUGCAGUCCACGUAUUUCUGGAUUGUGUAAUGUCAAUAAGUUUUGUCAAUAACUAUGUAUAAAGCAUUUCAUUCUUAUCAUAAAAAAAUGUAAAUUUUUACUAUUCAACGAUAUAAUCCAAUUUCUUUCUAACAUUGAGAGCAGUGAGACAUGUCAUCAUGAAAUAUCUAUAUAAGCGAUAGUUGAGCAAGUGUCAAGCGAUGCCAAUCAAAUGUUUGUAUUAUAUUGAUUAGUACGUACACGCAUUAUUAAAGAGAAGAGACAAAUGUUCUUUGCGACUUUGGCAUUUUGCGUUUGUAGCUUGUGAAAUUCUUGGCAAAUUGAGAGAAAAGUGUUUUCUUAGAUUUAGGAGAGAUAGGAAGUGAUUGCAAUCAAGGAGCAUGACCAAAAGUAUUGCAUUUUAUUUCAUAAGUUUAUAAACUUUCUCCUUUGUGUGAUUCAAUAAAGUAUGAACAAUGAGCAACACUCGUAAAGAGCUUAAAAUAAUGUUCACGUAAUUCAUCACACAUUUCAUCGUUCAAUGGCAAUACAGCACACAUUCCCAUUAUCACGAGAUAUAUAAUGUUAAAUGGAAAAUUCAAAUGGAAUUAAACGCGAAAAUUAAUCAAGUGCUAGCAUUCAUUGAACGAAUAUCUAAAAAUCUGUGUUCUCAUUAUAGUGAAUGCUGACGUAGGGAAACAAUAAACAAUUGUUAUUGAAUAUAUGGUUACAUGUUUCAAAGUAACAAUGUAACUAACAACGGAAAACUGUCACAAUCAGCUGAGAUAUUGCCCUAUACCACAACUACGCAAAGGUACAACAGAGAUUAUUCGUGCUAACAAAAAAGGGUUCGACUUUUAUGUACGUGAGUGUACGUGUGUAUGUGUGUGCUGUGUAUUGCGUAUGGUUUGGAAAAAUAACUAUUAGAUUAACAAGUUAUGCAGUAAGUUUUUCUUACAAUAGGUAACUAAACAAGUAAUUAUACAUAUAUAAUCGCGAUUACUAAGUCGUGGAUUUGAAACUUCUCUUUAUCCACGGGAAAUUUCUGUAUAAAAAAAUUGUUAAGUUUUAUAUGCACUUUUAAUUAUAGCACGAGUUGUCUCUGACUUACGUUGUAUGUAUGUAACAAAAAAUAAUUCUUGAUCGUAGUACGUGUGUAAUCAUUAGAAUUCGCUGAAUACCCAAUUUAGGAAAUUGUCAAUGUUGCUAGCGUUUUGUAAAUAUUUAUUCGCUUUGCAUAUAGAACUGCGAUAUAUAGAAUUUUGUUUUAGUUACGAUGUAUCUAGUAUUUACACUGACAAUGAGAGAUUUAUAAAAUUUUGCAAAAACAAUGGCUAACUUAUCAGUUAAAUUUGGAUUGUGAUAACUGAUACGCUCUAGACAAUUAAUAAUAGGCGUAGCAUAUCAAAUACGUAUUAUCAAAUUGUGCUUGGUGAUUAUUUAACACAAGCUCCAUACAAGGUUUUCCGCUUCCAUACAAGGUGUGAUUUUGUAAUGUUAGUGAUUGUGUUAAAGUACAAUACUCAAUCUAUUGUCUUAUCUGUCUAAAAACGCAAUAUUUUUUAGAGAUUGCUGUAACAAUUACAAUUACAGUGAUACAUAUAAUUACGUUUUCUUUGUGUCAUUGGUCAAUUGCAAGAAUAUUCUUUCUAGAUACAUUGAAACAUCGAAGCAAUGUAAUCAUACGUACACCCACACGCGUCUGCGUACACACGCGCGCAUUCUACACACAACAUAUUAUAUAUUUCAAUAUAAUUUCUGGCAGAUAACUUUUACUUUUAACAGUCUCAUUUUUGUAGGUAUGGUAAUGUGCAAAGUAACGAAAAUAGCGUUAGCAUGUUUGCAGAAUAAAUAUAUCAUUGAUACCAUGGAAAGUAAAAAAUUUACCUUAGAUGGGUCAUCACACAUAUACAUACACACAAUCUGUACGGGAUAUUAUCUCAACUGUAAUUUUCUCUGAAACAAAAUAAUCACGUAUGUUUUAUAAGAAGGAAUUAAUAUCUCUUGAAGACAUCUAAAUAAAAAUGCAACAACUA
rnacentral:misc_RNA from 1 species